AUGUGAAGGUAGCAGUGAAAAACAAAGUUCCUCUUGUAAGGUCGUUGACUUGAGCUGUGUUACAUUCUGUAUUGAAACAAGUAACACAGCGACCAUACCUAAGGUUCACGAGGAAUAUGUUCCCUCAUUUAUUUUGGAGUGGUCUAGGCAACUGGUAUGCUGUUUUAUCUUAUGAUGCAUCUGUGCGUCUAUGCCUCCACCCAUGGGCAAGGAGCUGUAUGGGAGCUCCUCCCUUUUUGGAAAAUGAAUGUUCACUGCUUAGGGAUGUAUUAGGAAAUAUAUUAUUAAAAUCAGAGCAAGAGCUGCCGAGGAACGAUCAUUCUGAACUUGUGGGUGAAGGCAUUUACGUAACGUCUAAGAAAACCAUCGGGAAGGUUAAAGUUCAAGGUGUAUAAGUGUUCGUAAAGUGAAAAUGGGGACGGAGCAACCCACUGGUUGCAUGUUUACAUCUUUAAAGUCUUCAUCCACGGUGAAGCUGGAAACAUUUCAGCAAAGGUUAUCAAAUGUGAAAUUGGUUGUUUCAUCCAACAGAAAAAAAGGAAAAAAAGAAAAAAAGGAAAAAAAGGAAAAAAAGAAAAGAAAAAAAGCUGAUAUUGUAAGAGGCUCUCUGUAUUGCAUAGAAGCGUUGCACACUUAAUUGUUGGGACUCGUAGAUACUUGAGAGAAGUACCCAAGCUCAUAAAGUGCAUCAACUUAUGAAUUGGUGCAAGAACCAUAUUCUUGUUUGUUGAGAUUGAAAAGUUCACCCGAAGAGGAUGCAUUGGGAAUGUAACCGGUAUCUGCUUGCCAGAUGGAUUUGGAGAUGAUCUGAUAAUCGAAGUCCAUGAUUCGAAGGGAAAGUAUUGCGGGCAUGCUCUUGUUCAGGUGGCUGACAUUUCUGAUGAAUCGGUACUUGAUCUUGAGAUGCAUACACAAAGCUCAGAUACCUUUCAUACGUUAUGGAUAUCUCCACAGCAACAGUAGAUUAUCUUGAUUUGGUGCACGACAUUCUGCUGCCAGUGGUAAUCAAAGACAAAAGUAAGCUCACAUU